AAUUGUCUAAAUGGAUUGGCGCUUACGAUAACGCUAAGCGUAUGCAACAAAAUGGGUGGUCAGAUCAAGAUGUAUUGGUGAAAGCGCAAGAAAUAUAUUUAGGUGGUGGUACCGGAAAUUUCAAUUUAAUGAAAGAAUGGAUCGCUGUCCAUGAUCAACAACGUUAUGGUAGUCAAGUAGGAGGGAACAUUGGCUCUAAAAGCAGUGGAUUUAAGAGAGCCCACUAUAGUGAUUUUAGUGACUUCAACUCUGCAGGAUCCAUUGCUCGUCCAAUGGAAAGGGAUGCAGCAAAAAGUAAAGCUAAAAAAAAAGGCAAGGGCAUAGUUUUGGAAGUGGUCAACAAAGAUUUUAAUGAAUUCAAAUAAAUCAAGGCUCAAGAGUUUGAACGCUUGGAAAAACUAGCCAUGUUGCAAGAGGAGGCAAACCAAAAGCGAAAAGAGGCAAUCCAAAGGCAAGUGGAGGCAAACCAAAGGCAAGAUGAGUUUCCUUCUCUCCUGUUGUGCCACGUGGGAUGACAGCGCACAAACUCGAGCGUCAACGGCGUGACACGUGUCCAUGUUUAAUGAAACGAUGCGUAGCAGAUGCGUCUGUGUGGGGCGUGUUGGGCUCGCCUGUGUUUUACACGUAUCGUUUGUGGCCCAUCCAUAACUUGAUUAAGCGAAAACGCAGCUUAAUUGGCGUUUUGGUAUUAGGGUUGAACCCGUGUGUUUCUCCGCCAUCCUCUGUAACUGAAUUCAAAGAGUGAUUCGUUCAUCUUCUUCCUAUCGAUUUGAAUGAUACCGGUUACAGAUUAACCCUCUUCAAGUUCUUCUUUAAUCCAUACCCCAUGAUCUCUAUUGAAUGCGAUCUUAGCUUCUGGGAGGCGGUGGAAUUGCUACUAUAAAAAGAUUCAGUACACUCUUCCUCUCUUCCUCUCAAUAGACUCCUGCAAAGAUGGAAGAGUCAUGGCUAUAGCUGUCCGAUUUGAAGCCUGGCCUUUGUUCUCAGAUCGUUGUCUUCGCCUCCUCCUCCGCUGUUGAAAUCAUGGGCGUCGAUAUGACUUCUGAGUGAUAAGGUUGGUCUAUUAUUGUCUUUUCGUAAAUAUCUUUACAAUGAUUGGUAUUUUGCAAACUCAUAAAUCAUAAUCAACUCUUUCAUUGCAACAUGAGUCUCCCAUCCAAGCCUCUGUCACCGACCACCUGCUAAACACUUUUAAAAGAAUUCCUCAUUCGGAAUCCGAAGUAUGAGCUAAGUGGAUUCGAUCUGGAUUUGCUGUGAAGAAACAGAUGCUGGAUGAUAGAGGGUUCCCAAAAUAGCAUGUCAACUUGCAGCGACGGUUAUUUCACAUGGAGAAUAAGUAUUUCCAAGAGUGAAAGAAAAAUGUUCCACGAAGCUCUUUUACCUCUCCUUUGUUUCCAUCAAGUUUCUUUUCUCUAUCAAUCAUCACCAGAGGUUUUUGCGGUGAACGGUUUUGCCAGGUUGUAUAAUUUGAAAUUAUUGAUGAGUUAUAAUGUACUUCAAUACACCCACACAAAUACAAUGGACAAAUUAUUCAAAUUUGAGAACCAGAUUUCGAGCAUAAAUUUUCAUCA